GCCGACACCUCAAUCCUGGGCUUCUGUCCUCCAGCCUGUGAGCCAGUAAAUGUCUGCUGUUUAAGCCUCCGGGUCUGUGGUGCUGUAUUGUGGCGGCCAUGGCAGGCCUCCAGCCCAUCGCCUGAGAAGCAAGCUACUCUCAGCCUGUCGGAGAAGUCUUGGCAUCCUUCCCCACCAGCUGCCUCCUCUGUGGAGAGGUGUGAGUCACUGAGGAAAGCUAGGGUGCUCGGAACCGGGUAGGACCCAAAGCAGUCCAGUUUUCCUGAGGUCCCCCCGACACACCGAUGACCCAGCUCCCGAGGACUUGCCCGCUGUGGAUACUGACUCUGCGGCCUGGCGGCUGUGCACCUGCCCACCUGCAGGCACAGAUCUUCGGCUUCUUGUCCACUUGGCUGCCGUUUCCUUCCGUUGCCUGUAUGGGGCUUUCCUGCUCCCAGAAGGCUUGGUGGGGAUCCUGUGAUUCUAAGACUGUGUCUGGCAGAAAUGAAGCCCCCCCGGUUUGUCUGCUGCCAUUGUUUUACUUAUUUAUUUACAUGUAUAUGUCUAAUAAAAUUGUACUUGAUUUGCCCAUUUUAUGUCAGAUAAUG